UAAGAGUAAACUUGUAAGUUGUUUAGUUUUGCUAAAAAAAAGAGUGUGAUCUUUCUUACU
rnacentral:tRNA from 1 species